rnacentral:tRNA from 1 species
GCCGUUAUAGCUCAGUGGUAGAGCACCAGCAUGGUAAGCUGGGGGUCCCGGGUUCAAAUCCCGGUGACGGCUCCA